rnacentral:sRNA from 1 species
UGUUACACGAAAGAGAGUUGGACAAAGC